rnacentral:lncRNA from 10 species
UUGAACAGGUUGAUACAUCUAGGAGUGAAAUACAUCACCGCUUUCCCUGCUCCCGCCGCCAUUAAAAUUGUGUUUGGCAUCUGACCACCAAGAUACAGAUAUUUCCUAGACUGUUUUGCAGCUAGGUACUUAGCAUUUCUCUUUCCUCUGGAGAAAAAUAUCUGCUUUCUUUAAAAUAAAUGUUCCAUCCAUGCAGCUAAGCAGCUAAGGACACGAACAGCCACUGAUACAGGCCAACUCAUCAGUAGAUUAUUGAGAUUUCAUACUAGGACCUUUCAUUGGCUGAACAAAGACAAAGACAGAAAUCAAGGAAGGUCAAAGAAGCAGUCAGUUUUCUGGCACCCAAAGUUGUUGGAGAAGGGUACAGAGUCGGUAAAUAAGUCAUAUGACAGACAGGCAGUAUUUUCUUAUUUUAAUAACAAGUUUAAAAAUCCCACUUCUUGUACUUACCUUCUGUCUGACGUCAUCAGUAUUUUAAAAUGCCAACUGGGAUCAAGUUCAACACUGCAUUACUGAAGAAUCCAGAUUAUCUACAUUUCAAGUGCCAAAUGAAAGAAAGAACCCAGAAAAUAAAAC